UUCGAUGCAACGCGAAGAACCUUACCUGGUCUUGACAUCCCGGAGACCCUUAGGAACUAGGGGUGCUUCCAUCUGGAAGAAUCUGGAGACAGGUGCUGCAUGGCUGUCGUCAGCUCGUGUCGUGAGAUGUUGGGUUAAGUCCCGCAACGAGCGCAACCCUUGCCUUUAGUUGCCAGCAGUUCGGCUGGGCACUCUAAAGGGACUGCCGGUGUUAAACCGGAGGAAGGUGGGGAUGACGUCAAGUCCUCAUGGCCUUUAUGACCAGGGCUACACACGUACUACAAUGGCCGAUACAAAGGGCAGCGACACUGCGAGGUGAAGCCAAUCCCGUAAAAUCGGUCUCAGUCCGGAUUGGAGUCUGCAACUCGACUCCAUGAAGUUGGAAUCGCUAGUAAUCGUGGAUCAGCAUGCCACGGUGAAUACGUUCCCGGGCCUU
rnacentral:rRNA from 1 species